rnacentral:lncRNA from 1 species
CCGCUCCAUGGCAUAUGGAGGUCCCAGGCCAGCGAUCAGAUCCCAGCCACAGCUGCGACCUACACUGCAGCUGUGACAACGCCAGAUCCUUUAACCGACGAUGCUUGGCCGAGGAUCAAUCCUAGGUCCUGGCGCUGCUGAGACACCAAUGAUCCCAUUGUGCCACAGUGGGAACUCCCACUCUCUGGCUUUUAUUGUGGCCAUGUGUGUGCAAGUUUUGCUCUCCUAUUGUAUUUCAAGUCGUUGUCACUCGAAAUGUGCUUUGUGGGCCAGCAGCAACGGAGUCACCUGGGAGCUCAUUAGAAAUGUAAAAUCUCAUCACAGUCAUAUUGGACCAGAAUCUGUUUAUUAACAAGAUCCCCAGUGAUUUGGAUGCAUAUUGAAGUUUGAGAAACACUGCUACUUGGAAGCAGGAGUUAUGUUCACCAGAGUUAUCUUUGUACUAGGAAGCUUUUUGUUUGCUUGUUUUAGGGCUGCACCCACGGCAUAUGGAGGUUCCCAGCCUAGGGGUCUAAAGGGGUCUAAUUGGAGCUAUACCACAGCCAUGGCAAUGCAGGAUCCAAGCUGUGUCUGUGACCUACACCACAGCUCACAGCGAUGCCAGAUCCUUAACCCACUGAACAAGGCCAGGGAUCGAACCCGUAACCUCAUGGUUCCUAGUCGGAUUCGUUAACUACUGAGCCACGAUGGGAACUCCCGCAAGAAGCUUUUUUAUCCUGGGUGCUUGCGCUAAGCAGGUGCUCAUCCAGUGUCAUUAUUAUUUUAUUUUGUUGUUCAAAUUGCUCCAUCCACUGGAAGCUCCCACAGGUUAGUUUCCAGGCCUUCUGCCAUGCCCCGUUCUUUUCCAAACACUUCCUUAUUUUCAAGCGCCACAAGAAGUUCCAGUCUCAUUUGAUUCAGUAAAUAUUUCGGAAUGACUGGAUGGUAGAAUGGAAAAGAAGGUGCCUGUGGAGUUCUCUUGUGGCACAUCAGGUUAAGGGUCCAGGGUUGUCCCUGCAGCAGCUUGGGUCACUGCUGUGGCACAGGUUCAAUCCCUGGCCCGGAAAUGUCUACAUGCUAUGGGCGUGGCCAAAAAAAGAAGGCGCACACAUAGAAAUUGAGCCCCUCUGCGAUUCCAACUACAACUGGAAGCUGUAGUCAGUUAAAUUUUCAGCUGCAGGGAGGGCCAGGAGAUGUCUCAAGAUCCCACAGAUUCACUCAUUUACAUUGCUCUAUGAGGGUAAAGGGAAGCUGGAGACAAAAGAAACAGUAUCUGUAGUAAUUACAGUCUAGGAAAUUUAUCUGCCCUAAAUAUCCAGUUCAUGGACUUCACACAUCUAUCAAGCAGUAUGACCUGGUGCUUAAGAGCACAGGUGCUGGAGCCAGAUGCCUAGGUCUGCAUCCUAGGUCUGUUACUGUGUUAUUUCCAUGUGCCUCUGUUUCCCCAUCAGUAAAAUGCAGGUGAUAAUAACAUUACUUAACCAUGGAGCCGUGUAAUGGCAAAGUGAGUUGAAAUGUUUAAACUGCUUAGAACAUUCUGGUACAUUAAACAGUGAAUAAUCAUUACCCAGGAGUCUGGCAUUUUUAGCAAUGAACCCAGCCUGCUGAAUUCAUUCAGAAAGUACCUAUUGAGGAUCGUAUUAUCCGACAUGCUAUGUGGAAGGGUUUCCAUCAGUGAACAAAAGAGAGGAAGUCUCUGUUCUCAUGGAGCUUACACUCUUCUGGAAUGAAAUCCCAGGAGUCCAAGCCUGCAAGAGACUGCGGUUUGGCCACCCCGCAGCAUAUGUAGUUCCCGGGCUAGGGACCAGAUCAAAGCUGUAGCUAUGACCUAAGCUGCAGUUGUGGCAACGCCGCAGGAUCCUUAACCCACUGAGAGAUAGAACCUGUCUCCCAAUGCUCCCAAGACACUGCUGUUCCCUAGCACCACAGCCGCAACCCCUGAGACUGCAAUACUCUCUAAAGACAGUAGUGGGCGCAGCUGUACUUUUGCCAUCAAAACCAUUUACACUUUCCGGUUUUUAAAUAUUCGUUUUCGGAGUUCCCGUCGUGGCUCAGUGGUUAACGAAUCCGACUAGGAACCAUGAGGUUGCAGAUUCUAUCUUUGGCCUUGCUCAGUGGGUUAAGGAUCCGGCAUUGCAGUGAGCUGUGGUGUAGGUCGCAGCUGAGGCUCGGAUCCCGUGUUGCUGUGGCUCUGGCAUAGACUGGCGGCUACAGCUCCGAUUGGACCCCUAGCCUGGGAACCUCCACAUGCCAAGGGAGUGGCCCUAGAAAAGGCAAAAAGACCAAAAAACAAAAAACCUAUAGCUAAAUAUUCGUUUUCCCCGUAGUAUCAUGGGAUGGCGUCUUAAACAGUCAAGGCAUUUGUAUUGCCUUGGCCACCAGGGCUCCUUAAGGGUCAGAACCCGAGAGCGGAGAGAGGUGGGGCGUGGCCUGCGAUUAAGCCACGCCACUGAGGGCGGAGCCAAAGCGAGCGAAACAGAAUCCUGAUGACCUUGUUCAAGCCCCCAGGUUGAGGAUGGGCCUGAAGGCUGUCCUGUUCUGCAUUUUUCAGGUACACAAGCCAAUGCAUUCCCUUUUCCUACUCAUUACUGAAGGAGUCUUGAGCUAACUCCCAUCCCUCAGAAAGCUGACGCCAGAGCAGGACGCCGAACUCUGUUCUGAGCCCCUGCCCUUGCUCUGAGCACUUUGUCUCUUGCCUUGUCCUCAGAUGUAAACCACCACCCCACCCCGACCCCUCCUACACAUGUCUCGGCUCCAUCCCACUUCCCACGUCCGGCCCACCUACCCCUGCUUCCUCCCAAGGGGACCCAUGCCCAGGACAGUAAUCAGCCUCCCCUCCCCUAUCCUCUAGAGCUGGAGCCUCUCCCCACCGCUCACCUAGAUCCUCUCACCCCUCCAACUCUGCUGCCCAAGCCUCUCCUGCAAGGCAGGUCUGGCUGAAUUCCCAGCCUUGGGCCUUGCCUUCUGUGGCCAUGCCUCCUCCCCUCUGGCAGGACUGAGGGAGCCCUAAAUAGUCCCCGAGGGUCAGCAGGAGAGCCCUAUGGGCAAUCUCAGAAGUAACUCAGAGGCUCACCCCCUGGAAGGCCCCCUUUCAUUACCUCAUCUGUUCCUGGGGUCUUCCUGUAACUCUGGGCCUGGGCAGCUUCAGGGCUGUGGCUCAAGCAUGCUGGCGCUCUCCCACCUCGUGCCCUGCAGAAGCCAUGUCCUAAGGGCAGACCAGGGGAGCCCAAACUUCCACUUCCUUUGAGACUUCCAUCUCCCUUCUCCAAAGUUCUAGGGAACUUACUGCCUAAACCUCCUUGUCAUACCUUGACUACAACACCUCUUACAGUGUCCGUUCUCGACCCCCUCUCGUGUUAACUUUCAGUCAGUAUAUGAUUUGCAUCUUUGACUGACUGGUGUCUUGGUCACCUCUGGCUGCCAGAACAAAAUACCAGACUGGGUGGCUCAAACAGCGGAAAUGUAUUUCUCGCAGUCUGGAGGCUGGGAAGUCUGAGAUCAGAUUCAGUGUCUGGUGAGAACCCUCUUCUUGGUUUGCAGAUGGCUGCCUUCUUGCUGAGUCUUCACAGGGCAGAGACGGAGAGGAAGGGAGGGGGAGAGAGCGAGAGCGAGCUGGAGCGUGCUCUGGUAUCUUCCUCUUCUUAGAAGGACACUAAUUCCAUCGUGGAACCCCCACUUUUGCGACCUUAUCUAAACCUGACCAACUCUCAACACCCCCCCCAAAUCAGUACCGUCACACUGGGGAUCAGGGCUCCCACACAUGAAUUCUGUGGGGACACAACAUUCAAUCCACAGCAGCUGGACUGUAAGCGCAGCACAGUGCUCAGUGAACACGGCAUGAAGAGAUCGGUGGUUGAAUAAGUGAAUUACUGAAGGAAUGGUGAAAUGAGUGAGGGAAUGACUAAAUAAACCAACGGGUAAGGCUGGUAAGGAGAGGCAGUAGCUCCAGAGGCUGGAGUGGAAUGACAAAGAACAGAGCUCCAGAAAAACAAACAACGACAACUAAAAGGAGUUCCCAUUGUGGCUCAGUGGGUUAAGAACCUGACUAGUAUCCAUGAGGAAGCAGGUUCGAUCCCUGGCCUCGUUCAGUGAGUUAAGGAUCCAGCGUGCUGUGAGCUGUGGAAUAGGUCGCAGGCUUGGCUCAGAUCCAGCAUUGUUCAAUUUGAUCCCUAGCCUGGGAAUUUCCACAUGCCAUGGUUGCAGCUCUAAAAAGCACCCCCCCCCCCCGAAAAAAAGCCCUAGAAGGGAUGGAGCUUGGGCCCAGGGAGGGGAGCAGCAGAAGAAGGAGACAGGCAGGAGGACAGGCAGCUACACGGCAGAAUGGCAUGAGGGAGAUAGACGCUGGGGCUUGCGCCUGGACUCUUUUACAGAGCUCAUUUAUUCGCUUUUAAAACUUUUUUUUUUUUUUUUAAUAUAAGAUCCUGACGGCUGAGGACUCUGCUCUGGUGCAUCCCUUCCCUAGAUGUGGGAAGGACGAGCCGGCCAUGUCGCCAGCACACCAGGUAUGGCCUCUGGGGAAGGGCCUGGGAGGUCCACUGGACUUGGGGUGCCUCCAAAAAGCCUUUCAGUGAGGAUUCCGAGUCCUCUUCAGGUCAGAGCCAGGGGGGUCACUCUCUCCCCUCCCCGUGUUCGUUCUCUGUCAUCCACUCCCCAUCCCUGGUUCCGCACUGGCACUGCCAGAGCCCAUGGGGCCCCACACCACCGCGAAGAACCACAGACGUCUACACGGAUUUGCAGCUACGAAGGAAAAGCUGAGGUUUGUUUUGAAUGGAUUGUGGCUCUGGAGAGAAAGCCCAGGGAUGCAAAUCCACCGUGAGUGGGAUGCAGAUGGGAAGCAGAUGUGGGGAUGUGGGAAGUCCCCGCUGCAUCCCCUACGGCCCACCUUGGAGAACGCCUUCGUUUCCCCGCUGAAGGCUGAUGGGCAAGGCUGCGCUCAGAUGCAGGAGCCCCUGCUCCAGGCCCAGUCUCAGCUGUUGCCCCCAUCAUCUGCCCUCUCUCCUUCGCUGGCAUUUCUCUUCCUCUGGCUUUCCGAUGGGAUACGUUUGUCCGUCCCCCCCCACCCCGCCCCGCCGUCUCUCUCUGCUCCUCUCCCUCUCUUUCUGUCUUCCAGCCUCUCUGUUUCUCUCCCUCCAUCGCUUCGUCUUCAUGCCUCUCUUGGCCUGUCUCUUGCUCUCAGACAGUCUCCGACUCCAUGUCGGUCCCUGCGCUCUGGCUCUCCCUCCC